CCUACGGGAGGCUGCAGUGAGGAAUAUUGGUCAAUGGACGAGAGUCUGAACCAGCCAAGUAGCGUGAAGGAUGACUGCCCUAUGGGUUGUAAACUUCUUUUAUAUGGGAAUAAAACGUUCCACGUGUGGGAUUUUGUAUGUACCAUAUGAAUAAGGAUCGGCUAACUCCGUACCAGCAGCCGCGGUCAUACGGCGGGUCCGAGCGUUUCCCGGUUUUAUUGGGUUUAAAGGGAGCGUAGGUGGAUUGUUAAGUCAGUUGUGAAAGUUGGCGGCUCAACCGUAAAAUUGCAGUUGAAACUGGCAGUCUUGAGUACAGUAGAGGUGGGCGGAAUUCGUGGUGUAGCGGUGAAAUGCUUAGAUAUCACGAAGAACUCCGAUUGCGAAGGCAGUUCACUGGACUGCAACUGACACUGAGGCUCGAAAGUGUGGGUAUCAAACAGGAUUAGAUACCCCAGUAGUC
rnacentral:rRNA from 1 species